ACGUAUGGUGCAAGCGUUAUCCGAAUUUACUGGGUGUAAAGGGAGCGCAGGCGGUGCGGCAAGUCUGAUGUGAAAGCCCGGGGCUCAACCACGGUACUGCAUUGGAAACUGUCGUACUAGAGUGUCGGAGGGGUAAGUGGAAUUCCUAGUGUAGCGGUGAAAUGCGUAGAUAUUAGGAGGAACACCAGUGGCGAAGGCGGCUUACUGGACGAUAACUGACGCUGAGGCUCGAAAGCGUGGGGAGCAAACAG
rnacentral:rRNA from 1 species